UGUUUCAAUUACCAAUAUCGCUCGAGUAGCCUAUAUAAAUUAUUGAAGCGUGUUUAGACUAUAUUGAAUUGAGGAUGUUUUGCAGUGAGCUCCCCUAAACGAACCAAAUGGUUUGGUCUGCCCGUGCCCUCUGCUGCUGUACGUCCUAUUAUUCCGACGUCAGCACGAGAGAGCGCAGAGAGGAGGGGUGGCGUUGCGUUGUGGUUGGACGUGUGUUGACUGGAGCAGUUUUUUUUUUCAUCUCACAUGUGAUCUUGGACACUGAGUCAGGCUAGGCAGCUUUGGGCUGAUGUUAGACUACUAGACGAGCAUCAUCUUUGAGCUGAUUGGCAGAUUCAUGCACCCUUAUGGACUCCCAUUGCUCGCCGCUGGACUUUGACCUCUCCUGUCCCACCCCAUCCUAUCCUGUCUGACAGAGAGUGAACCCAAAAACAAACACCCUACUUUAAAUUGAACUAGGCAAGUCAGUUAAGAA
rnacentral:lncRNA from 8 species